rfam:Prunus persica cultivar Lovell chromosome G6, whole genome shotgun sequence.
AGAGGCCUAUGAUGAUCUGAAGAUUUGCCUACAUUGUCCGAUUCUUGCUCAUGAUGGAGUAACCUAUAUUAUUUCUGAGGCCUCG